rnacentral:rRNA from 1 species
GAUGAACGCUGGCGGCGUGCCUAAUACAUGCAAGUCGAGCGAACAGACGAGGAGCUUGCUCCUCUGACGUUAGCGGCGGACGGGUGAGUAACACGUGGAUACCCUACCUAUAAGACUGGGAUAACUUCGGGAAACCGGAGCUAAUACCGGAUAAUAUAUUGAACCGCAUGGUUCAAUAGUGAAAGACGGUUUUGCUGUCACUUAUAGAUGGAUCCGCGCCGCAUUAGCUAGUUGGUAAGGUAACGGCUUACCAAGGCAACGAUGCGUAGCCGACCUGAGAGGGUGAUCGGCCACACUGGAACUGAGACACGGUCCAGACUCCUAAGGGAGGCAGCAGUAGGGAAUCUUCCGCAAUGGGCGAAAGCCUGACGGAGCAACGCCGCGUGAGUGAUGAAGGUCUUCGGAUCGUAAAACUCUGUUAUUAGGGAAGAACAAAUGUGUAAGUAACUAUGCACGUCUUGACGGUACCUAAUCAGAAAGCCACGGCUAACUACGUG